rnacentral:misc_RNA from 1 species
UGGUGGCAACCCACUGGACGACUUGCUUGGCAACUCCUCAGUGCGAUUCCCCAUGCUUUCGAAGCAUGGAACGGGUGCUGGUUCCUGUGCUAUGUACCGCGGAUGCGGAAUUGGUUGUUCGGCUACCGUCUCUCUCCAUCGGCUGCUCCGAAUGUGCAGCGGACGGACAAGAUAGUGGUACCCGUGGCCCAUGCUUUGCCUCAGCUCUUCACGGGCAACGGCCGCAAUGGUCCAUCGGGUGCUUACUCGAUCUCUCGGAUUCGGAAUGCCUCAAUGGCAUGUGGCUGUCAAGCCUCGACAUGCCUCGUUACAUUGCACCAAUCGAAUGACACUCGCGCUGGCCGUAUGCCGACUCGUCGAGCCACAAGCUGGCGAGUCGUGCGGCCGUGCGGACGUCGUCAAUGGAUGCUACCUGGUUGAUCCUGCCAGUAGUCAUAUGCUUGUCUCAAAGAUUAAGCCAUGCAUG